rnacentral:tRNA from 1 species
UAGCUCAGUUGGUAGAGCGUGGUGUUUGCAACGCCAGGGUUGUGGGUUUGAUUCCCAC